AGAAUUUGUUGUAUGUUUUUGGGCUUACUGAAUAUUUGCCUCUGAGCUUACUCGGCAUAAGCUCCUGGCUUGCAGCCUAUUUGAUGCUGGCAAGUUUGUCUUCCAUGCUCAUCUCCAUGAACUAGAUUGGGAGAAGAUGUAUUUUCUGAUGGAGAGCACUGCAUGAAUUAAAUGAUAUAAGAAAUUGAUCAGAGCACCUCUAGGGCUAGAAUUGGAGGUGAUGUUCAGCUGGACACUUUGGUAUUUUCCCAAGUCUAGAAUGAACUGCAGGCUCUCAUCAAUGGGAUCUGUGUGUCAACAUUAUCAACAGCUCUUUCUACCUUGUUCCUGUCAUAACAAACAGUAGAGUACAGCGGAUUCCCUCCUGAACAAGACCUGCAUUGUAUAUGCUCCAGCAGUUAUUAAACACAUCAGUUAUUGGCUGAUGUGACCUUCUGAAGAGAUCAGACAGUAGGGUUGGUGCCGCACUGACUAAUACUCAGUACCUGAUUGGAAUUGUUUACUGGUGCCGGCAGAACUGCUGAGGAGGAACAUCUACAUCUGUUAUAUAUACCAACUGUCUAAACAAUGACAAUAUUCCUAUUUGUUCACUUCCUUACUAGAAAGAUAUACAAUGAACACAACCCAAGUCUGGAAAGAUAUAUAAAUAUUAAG
rnacentral:lncRNA from 11 species